CCCUGUAUACCUGUGCCACUUUGUGCCUUAAGGAACAAGCUUGCUCAGCGUUUUCAUUUUUCAGUGCUUCUGAGGCUCCCCAGUGUUUCUGGAUGACAUCAUGGAUCAGCCCAGCUGUCAACAAUUCAGACUUCUGGACCUACAGGAAAAACAUGACCAGGGUAGCAUCUCUUUUUAGUGGUCAGGCUGUGGCUGGGAGUGACUAUGAGCCUGUGACAAGGCAAUGGGCCAUAAUGCAGGAAGGUGAUGAAUUCGCAAAUCUCACAGUGUCUAUUCUUCCUGAUGAUUUCCCAGAGAUGGAUGAGAGUUUUCUAAUUUCUCUCCUUGAAGUUCACCUCAUGAACAUUUCAGCCAGUUUGAAAAAUCAGCCAACCAUAGGACAGCCAAAUAUUUCUACAGUUGUCAUAGCACUAAAUGGUGAUGCCUUUGGAGUGUUUGUGAUCUACAGUAUUAGUCCCAAUACUUCCGAAGAUGGCUUAUUUGUUGAAGUUCAGGAGCAGCCCCAAACCUUGGUGGAGCUGACGAUACACAGGACAGGGGGCAGCUUAGGUCAAGUGGCAGUCGAAUGGCGUGUUGUUGGUGGAACAGCUACUGAAGGUUUAGAUUUUAUAGGUGCUGGAGAGAUUCUGACCUUUGCUGAAGGUGAAACCAAAAAGACAAUCAUUUUAACCAUCUUGGAUGACUCUGAACCAGAGGAUGACGAAAGUAUCAUAGUUAGUUUGGUGUACACUGAAGGUGGAAGUAGAAUUUUGCCAAGCUCCGACACUGUUAGAGUGAACAUUUUGGCCAAUGACAAUGUGGCAGGAAUUGUUAGCUUUCAGACAGCUUCCAGAUCUGUCAUAGGUCAUGAAGGAGAAAUUUUACAAUUCCAUGUGAUAAGAACUUUCCCUGGUCGAGGAAAUGUUACUGUUAACUGGAAAAUUAUUGGGCAAAAUCUAGAACUCAAUUUUGCUAACUUUAGUGGACAACUCUUCUUUCCUGAGGGGUCGUUGAAUACAACGUUGUUUGUGCAUUUGUUGGAUGACAACAUUCCUGAGGAGAAAGAAGUAUACCAAGUCAUUCUGUAUGAUGUCAGGACACAAGGAGUUCCACCAGCCGGAAUCGCCCUGCUUGAUGCUCAAGGAUAUGCAGCUGUCCUCACGGUAGAAGCCAGUGAUGAACCACAUGGAGUUUUAAAUUUUGCUCUUUCAUCAAGAUUUGUGUUACUACAAGAGGCUAACAUAACAAUUCAGCUUUUCAUCAACAGAGAAUUUGGAUCUCUAGGAGCUAUCAAUGUCACAUAUACCACGGUUCCUGGAAUGCUGAGUCUGAAGAACCAAACAGUAGGAAACCUAGCAGAGCCAGAAGUUGAUUUUGUCCCUAUCAUUGGCUUUCUGAUUUUAGAAGAAGGGGAAACAGCAGCAGCCAUCAACAUUACCAUUCUUGAGGAUGAUAUACCAGAGCUAGAAGAAUAUUUCCUGGUGAAUUUAACUUACGUUGAACUUACCAUGGCUGCUUCAACUUCAUUUCCUCCCAGACUAGAUUCAGAAGGUUUGACUGCACAAGUUAUUAUUGAUGCCAAUGAUGGGGCCCGAGGUGUAAUUGAAUGGCAACAAAGCAGGUUUGAAGUAAAUGAAACCCAUGGAAGUUUAACAUUGGUAGCCCAGAGGAGCAGAGAACCUCUUGGCCAUGUUUCCUUAUUUGUGUAUGCUCAGAAUUUGGAAGCACAAGUGGGGCUGGAUUAUAUCUUCACCCCAAUGAUUCUUCAUUUUGCUGAUGGAGAAAGGUAUAAAAAUGUCAAUAUCAUGAUUCUUGAUGAUGAUAUUCCAGAAGGAGAUGAAAAAUUUCAGCUGAUUUUAACAAAUCCUUCUCCUGGACUAGAGCUAGGGAAAAAUACAAUAGCCUUAAUUAUUGUCCUUGCUAAUGAUGACGGCCCUGGAGUUCUAUCAUUUAACAACAGUGAGCACUUUUUCCUAAGAGAGCCAACAGCUCUCUACGUCCAGGAGGGUGUUGCAGUAUUGUACAUUGUUCGGGAACCUGCACAAGGAUUGUUUGGAACAGUGACAGUUCAGUUCAUUGUGACAGAAGUGAAUUCCUCAAAUGAAUCUAAAGAUCUGACUCCUUCCAAAGGCUAUAUUGUUUUAGAAGAAGGUGUUCGAUUCAAGGCCCUACAAAUAUCUGCCAUAUUAGACACGGAACCAGAAAUGGAUGAGUAUUUUGUUUGCACCUUGUUUAAUCCAACUGGAGGUGCUAGACUAGGGGCGCAUGUUCAAACCCUGAUAACAGUUUUGCAAAACCAGGCCCCUUUGGGGCUAUUCAGUAUCUCUGCAGUUGAAAAUAGAGCCACCUCCAUAGACAUCGAAGAAGCCAAUAGGACCGUGUAUUUAAAUGUAUCUCGAACUAAUGGCAUUGAUUUGGCUGUGAGUGUGCAGUGGGAGACAGUAUCUGAAACAGCCUUUGGCAUGAGGGGAAUGGAUGUUGUGUUUUCCGUAUUUCAAAGUUUUUUGGAUGAAUCAGCUUCUGGCUGGUGUUUCUUUACUUUGGAAAAUUUAAUAUAUGGUAUAAUGUUAAGAAAAUCAUCUGUUACUGUUUACCGAUGGCAGGGGAUUUUUAUUCCAGUUGAGGAUUUAAAUAUAGAAAAUCCUAAAACUUGUGAGGCCUUUAAUAUUGGUUUUUCUCCCUACUUUGUGAUUACUCAUGAAGAAAGAAAUGAAGAAAAGCCUUCUCUUAACAGUGUGUUUACAUUCACAUCUGGAUUUAAAUUAUUCCUGGUACAAACAAUCAUUAUUCUGGAAAGUUCUCAAGUAAGAUAUUUUACUUCAGACAGCCAAGAUUAUUUAAUCAUUGCAAGUCAAAGAGAUGAUUCCGAAUUAACUCAGGUCUUCAGGUGGAAUGGAGGAAGCUUCGUGUUGCAUCAAAAACUCCCUGUCCGAGGUGUGCUGACCGUGGCCUUGUUCAACAAGGGAGGCUCUGUGUUCUUAGCCAUUUCCCAGGCUAAUGCCAGGCUAAACUCCCUUUUAUUCAGAUGGUCUGGCAGUGGGUUUAUUAACUUUCAAGAGGUGCCUGUCAGUGGGACAACAGAAGUUGAGGCUUUGUCUUCAGCCAAUGAUAUUUACCUAAUAUUUGCCAAAAAUGUCUUUCUAGGAGAUCAGAAUUCAAUUGAUAUUUUCAUCUGGGAGAUGGGACAGUCUUCCUUCAGGUAUUUUCAGUCCCUAGAUUUUGCUGCUGUUAACAGAAUCCACUCCUUCACACCAGCCUCAGGAAUAGCCCACAUACUUCUUAUUGGCCAAGAUAUGUCUGCUGUUUACUGCUGGAAUUCGGAGCUUAAUCACUUCUCUUUUGUUCUGGAAGUACCUUCUGCUUAUGAUGUGGCUUCUGUUACAGUAAAGUCCCUUAAUUCAAGCAAGAAUUUAAUAGCUCUAGUGGGAACUCGUUCACAUAUAUAUGAGCUAGCCUACAUUUCCAGCCAUUCUGACUUUAUUCCUGGUUCAGGUGAACUGAUAUUUGAACCUGGUGACAGAGAAGCUACAAUAGCAGUAAAUAUCCUUGAUGAUACAGUUCCAGAAAAAGAAGAAUCCUUCAAAGUUCAACUUAAAAAUCCCAAAGGAGGAGCAGAGAUUGGCAUUAAUGAUUCUGUAACAAUAACCAUUCUGUCUAAUGAUGAUGCCUAUGGAAUUGUUGCAUUUGCUCAGAAUUCAUUAUAUAAGCAAGUGGAAGAAAUGGAGCAAGAUAGCCUAGUAACCUUGAACGUUGAACGCUUAAAAGGAACAUAUGGCCGUAUAACCAUAGCAUGGGAAGCUGAUGGAAGUAUUAGUGAUAUAUUUCCUACCUCAGGAGUGAUUUCAUUUACUGAAGGCCAGGUACUGUCAACAAUCACUCUAACUAUUCUUGCUGAUAAUAUACCAGAGUUAUCAGAGGUUGUGAUUGUAACCCUCACCCGUAUCACCACAGAAGGGGUUGAGGACUCAUACGAAGGUGCUACUAUUGAUCAGGACAGAAGCAAGUCUGUUAUAACAACUUUGCCCAAUGACUCACCUUUUGGCUUGGUGGGCUGGCAUGCUGCGUCUGUCUUCAUUAGAGUAGCAGAGCCUAAAGAAAACACCACCACUCUUCAGUUACAACUAGCUCGAGAUAAAGGACUACUUGGGGAUAUUGCCAUUCACUUGAGAGCUCAACCCAAUUUCUUACUGCAUGUCGAUAAUCAAGCUACUGAGAAUGAAGAUUAUGUAUUGCAAGAAACAAUAAUAAUAAUGAAAGAAAACAUAAAAGAAGCUCAUGCCAAAGUUUCCAUUUUGCCGGAUGACCUUCCUGAAUUGGAGGAAGGAUUUAUUGUCACUAUCACUGAGGUGAACCUGGUGAACUCUGACUUCUCUACAGGACAGCCAAGUGUGCGGAGGCCUGGAAUGGAAAUAGCUGAGAUAAUGAUAGAAGAAAAUGACGAUCCCAGAGGAAUUUUUAUGUUUCAUGUUACUAGAGGCGCUGGGGAAGUUAUUACUGCCUAUGAGGUGCCUCCACCCUUGAACGUUCUUCAAGUUCCUGUAGUCCGGCUGGCUGGAAGCUUUGGGGCAGUAAAUGUUUAUUGGAAAGCAUCACCAGACAGUGCUGGCCUGGAAGACUUUAAACCAUCUCAUGGGAUUCUUGAAUUUGCAGAUAAACAGGUUACUGCAAUGAUAGAAAUCGCCGUAAUUGAUGAUGCUGAAUUUGAAUUGACAGAGACGUUCAAUAUUUCCUUGAUCAGUGUUGCUGGAGGUGGCAGACUUGGUGAUGAUGUUGUGGUAACUGUUGUUAUUCCACAAAAUGAUUCUCCAUUUGGAGUAUUUGGAUUUGAAGAAAAGACUGUAAGUUAAACAUAUCAGGGGAAAGCCUUGUUUCAGGCUAGCGUUUCAUGUAAUUUUGAGUAGAAAGUGUCUUACAUUUUUGUUUUGGAAGUCUUGGCCAGGGAUGGUGGCUCAUGCCAGUAAUCCCAGCACUUUGGGAGGCCGCAGCGGGCAGAUCACGAGGUCAGGAGAUUGACACCAUCCUGGCCAAUAUGGUUGAAUCGCCGUCUCUACUGAAAGUACAAAAAUUAGCUGGGCGUGGUGGCACAUGCCUGUAUUCCCAGAUACUUGGGAGUCUGAGGCGGGAGACUCGCUUGAACCCAGGAGGCAGAGGUUGCAGUGAGCUGAGAUCACGCCAUUGCACUCCAGCCUGGCGACAUAGAGAGACUCCAUCUCAAAAAAAAAAAAAA
rnacentral:sRNA from 1 species